CAUGCACCAGUGGGGUCCCUCGGCCUGGCCUGUGAAACCGGCUCUCCAACAUCCCCCAGGGGUCCUGGAUUGUGAGAGGGUGCAGGCCAGGCUGAGGGACCCCACCUGUGCAUG
rnacentral:pre_miRNA from 1 species